rnacentral:lncRNA from 1 species
CUGCAACUCAGCCAACCAGCACAUCGGACAGUGGGAGGAGGAAUUCUUGGCUAAGAGUACUGAGAUUAUUUACCCCUCAAAAUACCCCCCAAGGUAUCUACAACCAGUUCCACAUGUCUUGUACCAAUCCAUCCCUCCUCACUCAGGGUUUUUACAUGUCUGACACCCAUGGCUCCACCUGGACUCAUCUGGAUCCGCCAACCCCAUUCCCAUGGCCCCACCCAGAAGUGAUUCAGCUUGCAGGAGGACAGCUUCAACUUCCCGUGAUUUUGUCUCUGCCCCAACCAAUCAAUAGCAAGCAUAGCCACAGCCACCCCUUUCCCAAACUGCCUUUGAGAAACCCCUAACCUAUGAACUUUGGAUGAGAAUGAUUUGAGAACUAACUCCAUCUGCCACCUGGCGUGGCUGGCCUUGUGUCUAUUAAACUCUUUCUCUACUAUAA